GGAAUUGUUCACAAUGGGCGCAAGCCUGACGACGCAACGCCGCGUGGAGGACGAAGAUUUUCGGAUCGUAAACUCCUUUCGAUCGGGACGAAUCGGUCGCGACCUAAUACGUCGCGGCAUUGACGGUACCGAGAGAAGAAGCCCCGGCUAACUCCGUGCCAGCAGCCGCGGUAAUACGGGGGGGGGCAAGCGUUGGUCGGAAUUACUGGGCGUAAAGGGCGCGUAGGCGGCCUGUUAAGUCGGACGUGAAAUCCCUCGGCUCAACCGGGGAACUGCGUCUGAUACUGGCGGGCUUGAAUUCGGGAGAGGGAUGUGGAAUUCCAGGUGUAGCGGUGAAAUGCGUAGAUAUCUGGAGGAACACCGGUGGCGAAGGCGGCAUCCUGGACCGACAUUGACGCUGAGGCGCGAAAGCCAGGGGAGCAAAC
rnacentral:rRNA from 1 species